rnacentral:lncRNA from 1 species
UGGGUUUUAUGUGGUGACGUCAGAAUCCAGACCCCCGGAUUCUCGGGCUGUCACAGUUGGUAUCAGAGCAACAGGUUACAAGUUAUUGAAAUUUGAGUAUAGAUUAUAGUCUUAAGUUUUCUAGAGAAGAAAGUUGUGUAACCUCACAUAGAGGUAUGGUUAGACUAUUUGGGAAUAGUCUAGUGAUGUGAGUGAAGCAUAGAGUCUAGUUAGACGACUAAGUUGAGUGUAUAAGUUUAGAGAGAUUUUGAUCCCUAAGUUAGACAUAUGAUUUUUUUAAGAUGACUCAUUGAGAUGAUGGAUUGUGAGAAAGGUCAAGAUUAGACCUAGGUAGAAUAGUUUGAUAAUGAAUGAUUGAGUUGGGAUUGGUAAAGAUGCAGAGUUCAAAGUAUUCUGACUAUACUGCAUAAUUGAAAAUGGUCUAUUGUAUUGACUUGAGAAUGAUAGAGAUGCAUGGUUCAUAGUAUGUUGACCAUGUCAGAUAUUUGGAAGAGGUAUAUUGUUUUAGUGAGAUAUGAAGAGUUAGUGUAGAAUAUGAGUUGUGUUGGAUUAGAAGAAGAGAUUUGUAGAUAGAGGUUGAUAGAUGAGAAGUGCAUGAUAGAGAGUAUGUGGAGUUGAGUCCAGUUAUUAGAGGUGAUGUGUGCGAGUAAGUUAGAACGUUAGUCCUCGGCGAUGACGCUUUAAGUUAAUCGGGACUUUAAACGACAUCAAGGUGGGCCCAUAACCCACAGGUUGGCGAUCCAUACAAUCGAUGAUAUGCUACGUGUUUUGCUAGUGACUUCACAGAUAAUGGGGAUGAAGUGGAGGCCAAGACUUAUUACGAACUAUAACGUCUACGAUGACAUCUUACGAGGCUAUUACGAAUCAACAUCGAUCGAUUAUCGAGAACAUUGAAAAGAAGACAUAUAUCGAACAAUGAUUUAUUGAAGCAGAGCGAAAAUCUGAGAAGACCUUGGUAAUACCUCUCUUCAACUAAGAUUCUUUUGGAUUGUUUUUCUCAUCAGUGAGAUAUUAUCAUGAUAUCCUUUCGACCAAAGUUUCGAUAAAUGAGAUUUUCAAUUUCUCAAAUUCUAAGAUGAUAAUGAUAUUGAUUAUUGGUGUGAGUUAGUAUUGAAUCGGUGUAUGAUAAAGGCGUGUUAUGAAGAGACAGUGGAAUUCCUUGAUAUUAUUGAUAUUCUGUGAUAUCCCUUGAUAUUCUUCCAUAUUCUUUGAUAUCCCUUAAUAUUCGUUGAUAUUCGUUGACAUUCUUUGACACUCUUUGAUAUUCCUUGAUAUCUUUUCGAUAUUCCUUAAUAUAUUCCUCGAUAAUCCUUAACAUUCCUUGAUGCUCCUUCAUAUUUCUUGGAUUCUUUCCAUCUGAUUGGGAUGAACAACCCUAUGUAUAGGGGACACAAGGUAUACCUGUCUGUGUGAUAGGAGUUGGAUGGGACGCCAUCACUUGUGUGUGUUGUGAUUACAAGAAGGUUAAAAACCUUUAGUAGUGUCUAAUAUGGACACGCAACAUGAAGUUCAUUUGAUCGUAUUGAUCUCCCAGUCACUCUUGUAUUCCAAUGUGACCUAUUUUGAAAAUAUCUUGUUCCUCCGAAAUUCCCAAAGAUUGAUUCUUGGGAAAUGAAGUUUGCAAUUGUGAAGGUUUUGAUUCUCCUAUUUCUUUAACU